GCCUGCCUCACCCUUCUAUUAGGUGUCUGCUUGCAAUUCUCUAAGUGAUAGCAAGGCAGUAGGCUUCAGUUUCCUAAAGGUGAACACCUGUGCUAGGAAUGCUCAUAAAAGCAAGGGAGUACAGACCCAUGAGCAGUCCUUGGCUGCUCCCUGCACAAGUAGCUUCUCCAUCAAGUGCUGUGGGAAACAGAGGGCUGUGAUGAGCCUGGAUCUUCAGCUGAGCAGUGUCCUGAUGCCAAACAGAAGAAUAUUUCCUGGCAGCAUCGUUUGUUGUAAGUCUUAAAAGAUAACUCGGAUCACAAAGAAAGAAAGUGGAGCACACACUCCAGCCUUUCCUCACCAUGAGGGCAGCUGAGCAAUUUCAAGUGGCAGCAGCAGGAGGUUGGCUCCUUUCCCUUGUUGGGAACUUCAAAACACCCCAAAGAAAGGAAUCUCCAAUAUCCAAUUAAGAGCAGGGAGACACCACAAAGGUCUACACGCACAGUGGUCACCAGGGAUGCAUGCCAGGCAUGUGCAGCACGUUAUGGAAUCAUCUGUGAGGAUAUAAAAGAUCGUGCAGCAAUAAAGACAACUCCAGAGAAAGCCAGAGUCCUGCUUUUUACCUGAAGACAUGCCUGGCUCCAACACAGCUCUUCAUUCAGUGCAGUUCCUG
rnacentral:lncRNA from 1 species